rnacentral:tRNA from 10 species
CGCGGGAUGGAGCAGUCUGGUAGCUCGUCGGGCUCAUAACCCGAAGGUCGCAGGUUCAAAUCCUGCUCCCGCAACCA